rnacentral:tRNA from 1 species
UCCAUAUUGGUCUAGUGGCUAGGAUUUGUCGCUCUCAGCGAAGCAGCACCGACAAGGCCUGGGUUCAAUUCCCAGAUAUGUGA